CAUCUCUGAGCAUUCUCCCGCCCCCAAGCUGGAGAGACGCCCUGCUUUGACAGGACUUGCCUGAUCUGGUCAGGCCCAUGUGGAUCAUCUCCCCAUCUUGAAGUCACCUGUGCCACCUGUGCCAUCGAUCAUGGCUAUCAUGUGACCUCACCACAGAGUAAAAUCCAUCGUCCACAUUCAGCCCAGGGAUGCUAGCACCUCACCUAAAGCUUUUACUGAAAGGCGCGUGAUAUGGUGGAACAGGAGAAAGAAAGUCCAGCCAAGCAUCAAGGGUCC
rnacentral:lncRNA from 1 species